GGCAACUGUCAAGAUAACGACUUCUGAUAAGUCAAAAGACCAAACAGUGAAUAACAGUUUGAAUGAGACGAUGCAGGUCAUCUUUGACGUAAUAUUGAAAGACCCUGAACGUCGGACUAUAAGAAGUAAAUUAGCUGCAUGAUAAUUGGUGUAAUAUAAAAUAAUUUUUAUCUAAAUAAAUAAACAAUAUAUAAAUAUAAAAAUAAUUUGUAUUUAAUAAAUAAACAAUAUAUAAAUAUAAAUGAAUUUGUAUUAUAUCAUACUAUUAAGUCCUGUAAAGUCAUGUCAGACAUUGCGUUAAAAUGAAAUUGUAAUACUUCUAUUCACUGUUCAGCUGAUUGAAUAAUUAAUUUAUGUUGCAGGCGGCGUCACUCUGAGGCAACUGUCAAGAUAACGACUUCUGAUAAGUCAAAAGACCAAACAGUGAAUAACAGUUUGAAUGAGACCAUGCAGGUCAUCUUUGACGUAAUAUUGAAAGACCCUGAACGUCGGACUAUAAGAAGCGGCGUCACUCUGAGGCUACUGUCAAGAUAACGACUUCUGAUAAGUCAAAAGACCAAACAGUGAAUAACAGUUUGAAUGAGACCAUGCAGGUCAUCUUUGACGUAAUAUUGAAAGACCCUGAACGUCGGACUAUAAGAAGUAAAUUAGCUGCAUGAUAAUUGGUGUAAUAUAAAAUAAUUUUUAUCUAAAUAAAUAAACAAUAUAUAAAUAUAAAAAUAAUUUGUAUUUAAUAAAUAAACAAUAUAUAAAUAUAAAUGAAUUUGUAUUAUAUCAUACUAUUAAGUCCUGUAAAAUCAUGUCAGACAUUGCGUUAAAAUGAAAUUGUAAUACUUCUAUUCACUGUUCAGCUGAUUGAAUAAUUAAUUUAUGUUGCAGGUGGCGUCACUCUGAGGCAACUGUCAAGAUAACGACUUCUGAUAAGUCAAAAGACCAAACAGUGAAUAACAGUUUGAAUGAGACCAUGCAGGUCAUCUUUGACGUAAUAUUGAAAGACCCUGAACGUCGGACUAUAAGAAGUAAAUUAGCUGCAUGAUAAUUGGUGCGGCGUCACUCUGAGGCAACUGUCAAGAUAACGACUUCUGAUAAGUCAAAAGACCAAACAGUGAAUAACAGUUUGAAUGAGACGAUGCAGGUCAUCUUUGACGUAAUAUUGAAAGACCCUGAACGUCGGACUAUAAGAAGUAAAUUAGCUGCAUGAUAAUUGGUGUAAUAUAAAAUAAUUUUUAUCUAAAUAAAUAAACAAUAUAUAAAUAUAAAAAUAAUUUGUAUUUAAUAAAUAAACAAUAUAUAAAUAUAAAUGAAUUUGUAUUAUAUCAUACUAUUAAGUCCUGUAAAGUCAUGUCAGACAUUGCGUUAAAAUGAAAUUGUAAUACUUCUAUUCACUGUUCAGCUGAUUGAAUAAUUAAUUUAUGUUGCAGGCGGCGUCACUCUGAGGCAACUGUCAAGAUAACGACUUCUGAUAAGUCAAAAGACCAAACAGUGAAUAACAGUUUGAAUGAGACCAUGCAGGUCAUCUUUGACGUAAUAUUGAAAGACCCUGAACGUCGGACUAUAAGAAGUAAAUUAGCUGCAUGAUAAUUGGUGCGGCGUCACUCUGAGGCAACUGUCAAGAUAACGACUUCUGAUAAGUCAAAAGACCAAACAGUGAAUAACAGUUUGAAUGAGACCAUGCAGGUCAUCUUUGACGUAAUAUUGAAAGACCCUGAACGUCGGACUAUAAGAAGUAAAUUAGCUGCAUGAUAAUUGGUGUAAUAUAAAAUAAUUUUUAUCUAAAUAAAUAAACAAUAUAUAAAUAUAAAAAUAAUUUGUAUUUAAUAAAUAAACAAUAUAUAAAUAUAAAUGAAUUUGUAUUAUAUCAUACUAUUAAGUCCUGUAAAGUCAUGUCAGACAUUGCGUUAAAAUGAAAUUGUAAUACUUCUAUUCACUGUUCAGCUGAUUGAAUAAUUAAUUUAUG